GACGAACGCUGGCGGCGUGCUUAACACAUGCAAGUCGAACGGGCCUGUCUUCUUUUUUGGGGGUGGGUUGAGUGGCGAACGGGUGAGUAUCACGUGAGUAACCUGCCCUUCGGUCCUGGAUAACCGCUUGAAAGGGCGGCUAAUACGGGGUGGUCCGGUUGGUCCGCAUGGGCUGGUCGGGAUAGAUUCACUGUUUUUGGUGUUUCGGCGGGGGAUGGGCUCGCGGCCUAUCAGCUUGUUGGUGGGGUGAUGGCCUACCAAGGCGGUGACGGGUAGCCGGCCUGAGGGGGUGGGCGGCCACACUGGGACUGGGAUACGGCCCAGACUCCUGCGGGAGGCAGCAGUGGGGGGUAUUGCACAAGGGGCGGAAGCCUGAUGCAGCGACGUCGCGUGAGGGAUGGAGGCCUUCGGGUUGUGAACCUCUGUUUCCGGUGGUGAAGGCCCUGUCCGUGUGGUGGGGUUGACGGUAGCCGGGGAUGAAGCGCCGGCUAACUACGUG
rnacentral:rRNA from 1 species